rnacentral:rRNA from 1 species
UACGAAGGGGGCUAGCGUUGCUCGGAAUCACUGGGCGUAAAGGGUGCGUAGGCGGGUUUUUAAGUCAGAGGUGAAAUCCUGGAGCUCAACUCCAGAACUGCCUUUGAUACUGGGAAUCUUGAGUAUGGAAGAGGUGAGUGGAACUGCGAGUGUAGAGGUGAAAUUCGUAGAUAUUCGCAAGAACACCAGUGGCGAAGGCGGCUCACUGGUCCAUAACUGACGCUGAGGCGCGAAAGCUAGGGGAGCAAACAGGG